rnacentral:lncRNA from 1 species
CUGAGCAACUGGGUGACCGUCCCUGGCCAGUCCUCACGGUCAGCGUUUUGUGAACACGCAGGACUCAGGCACAGAAUCAGCUGCCAGGGGCUGCCCACGUGCUGUGGGACAGGGAUUGCACUUUGCGGAACUGUCUUCCAAACAGGUGGGCCGCCGGCCAGGCCUGGAGCACCUUGCUGGGCCUCGUUGUGGGCCUGGCCCUGUGGCCACAGCCCCGGGAGGUUGUGGCCGGCUGCACGGCCUUUUCGUCACGAGACCCUCGGCAACACCUCUGUUGGCGCCCCGGCUCGCUCAGCUGAGAACUUUCUGAAAAAGCCAUCAGUGGCCGGGCCUCCCCUGGCUGCCCAUCUCGGGCUCCGAUUUGCAAGCAGCCCUCGGCCUGUCUUUGUGCUUCAGUGUGUGGUGAUAAACAGCGCCCAGAAGUGGGCCUGCGCUUGGCGAUCGCCGUGCUGGGCUGCGGCCUUUGUUUGGUGACCUUGGUUGCUACAGUACCUGUGAGCUGAAAGGAGGAAUCGAAAAAUUGCCAGCUUCUCUUAGACCCGCCGACUGCCUUUCCCAAGGCUGCCUCCGUGGCUCUGUCCAUUAAUGGUACGCAUACGCCAAAUAGGCCUUAAUUCUCUCUAAUUGCCCACUCCUGAAGCAAAGAGUGAAAUUCCAGGAAGAGGCAUAUAUGUAAGCAGCCGCCACAGCCCAGCCCCCUGAAAUGAGAGGGCCGGUGGGGGCCGGCGAGGCGGGGGGGAGCGUGAUUUCCAAAGAUGUCCUAAUUAGCUCCCCCAUUUUCAUAAAUGAGCCCAGAACGUCCAGGGCCCUGGCCUCCACAAAGGCACAGGAAAUGAGUUGUGCAAAGAGCUUGCUUUUGUGGGGUGGUCGGGGGCGGGGGGGGGGGCGGGGGGGGGGGGGGGGGCCGAUGGCGAUCUGUGGAAACUCGUGGCUCUCGUUCCCAGAAUCCCCGCUUUUAUGAAAAAUCACCCUGUGACCUCUUUCCUCGCGCGAAACAUUCCCACGCUCUUUGUACCCGAAGACGUGCCAGAGCGAUUGGGUUCUGGUUGCCUCCAGAAGAGAGGAACGCUUAACGUCUUGAGAGGCAGAGCUAGAAUUUUCCAAUCCUGUUAAGCCCCGGAGCGUGUUUGCGACGUGCCCACCCCUGCUUCCUGCGUGGCUCACGGGCUCAGCACGUGCCUCAGUGAGGCUGUCGCUCAAUGGCCUGUGGACGCUGGAAGGGGGCCUGGUGUUUUCCUUUGGUUCCAGACAGUGGCUCCACCUGCGGCACCUCCAUCCGUUCCCAUCACAGCCCGCGCUGCCGUGCUCCUCCAUCACAGCAAACCCCGGGCUGGUCCUGAAGCUUGGGAACCGAGGCGUGGCUUUGGCGGGGCUGCAGCUUUGCAGAGCAGCCUGGGGUUAAUUAUGGACGGUCAGGAGCUCGGAGGGUUCCUGGGGUCCCUGGGGCAGAAGCAGGAAAAAACCCAGAUGCCCUGAGCUGCUUCUGAUUUCCCCCAAGAGAACCCAACCAGAGCCACCCAGCAAAGCGCUUUCCCGGCUCUUAAUCCCACGGGAGGUGCUGGGGCCUGUGGUCUUGCUGCGUGUUUGGGUCUGGAGUUGUUUUGGGCAUUGUAGGACCGUAGUGAUGAUGAGAGGGCCGCUUGGGCACUCCCGGGCUCCUGGGGAGGGCUGGGGACCCUCUUGGGUGGCAUCGAGCACAACAUGGGCACCCAGAGGGCCCUUACAAAACCAGAGUCGGCCCUUGGUCACCCAUGAGCUGCUGGCUGCUUAAAGAGCACGUCUUUCUUUAUUUUAAAGACUUCGUGUUUCUUGGUUGUAAACUCAAGCAAUUGAGGGAGAGCAGCGUUUGGGAAGCUCAAGGCCAGGGAGGGAAUUCUUAGGAGCACAGGAAGUGAGAGGCGGGUGUCCCGUGCCCUGGCCGCGUCUUGGGUGCCCCAGUGAGUGAGUCACCGGGUUGGAGGGACAGAGGCAACCGGGGUGGGGGCAGGGCUGCCCCAGUCAGGGCAGGGGGUGUGAGGGCCUCUUCCUUCCUUGGGGUUCUCACUGGCCCACGGAGCACUGUGCCCCUCUCAGGCUUGCCCCAGACUCUGGUGUUGCCCUCACCACCUUCCAGUGCUGUUCACACCUCAGCCGUCAGCCACCUCCUGUCAGCCAUGCCUACCCCCCUGCACUAGCCAAAAUGCACUCCCUUAAAAUAUUAAAAAAAAAAAAAAUGACGCUUUAUUUUCCUGAGCAGUUGCAUUAUUUAUCUAUGUCUGCCACGCCCGCAGCAUGCAGAAGUGCCUGGGCCAGGGAUCAAACCCGAGCCACAGCGGUGACGGCGUGGAGCCCUCAACCCCUGAGGGCAUCAGGGCCGUCCUGAGUCAUUUUAGAUUUGCAGAGAGAGGGGCGCGUGCAGGGAAUUCUCAUCAUCCCCCCGCCCCCCUUCUCCCCCAUUCACAUUAAUGUGGCGCAGGCGUUCGAGUUGAUGAGCCAACCUUGAUAACCGCUAUUAACUCGAGUCUGUUGUUUACAUCGUUAGGGGGUCACUCUUUGUGUCCUACCAUCUAUGGGUUUUGACAGAUAUAAAAACCUGGGUCUAUCAUUAUUCAACUCAUUUUUUAAAAACAAUUUUAAGGCAGAUGCUCGAGGUCAGAGACUGGUUGUGCCUGGUCGUGGCUUGUCCGUGGUGCUACUGGAAAUGCAUACACCUUUGUCUGGGCAGCAUCGUCUCUCCUCUUCCAUCCUGCAGUUUCAGGACCCACGGCCCACGAAAGACCCCACGACCCACUUCCCUAGUCUCAUCCAAGGCCAGCUGCCCAGUUGCUGCUGCCCCCUGAGCACUAACACUGGCUUGGCCGUGCCCCCGCGGCACCCUCCCUUCCAGGAAGCCUUCCAGCUUGGCUUUCGGUGUAUCCAGCUCAGCUCUCACGCAGGCGGUGGCCCUAAACCUUUGGGUUCCACAGAACAGUGCUUGGCAUCACAGGAAGCACCAGCCAACCCUACCCGGGAGGCAUGUUCUAUGCCAUCACCCCUGCCCCAGAUGUGGGGGAUGCCGGGCUGGGGCGCUGGGCAGGUGAGAGCAAGUGAGCGCUAGCCGUGGAGCUCCUCGCCUGCUGUGAGUUGGGGCGGCCCUGCCUCCGCUGGGCCAGAUUCUGUUUCAGUAACCUGGUGCUUUCUCGUUCCAGCUGAAGCCAUCAUCUGUGUCCUCCGUCGGAAGGGACCUCAGACAUGUGGCUCCUGCACCCUCCAGCUCUGAAAUCGUAAGUUGCUGGGGUGUGGGGAGCACAUUGGUAGCUGGUCACCAAGGGUGGCAGGUUGCCACCCAGAACAGCCUGGUGAGAGGGAGUGGUGAGCGCUGGGUGGCGGUCCGCUCACGGGAGGUGGGUGCCCAGAGAGCCAAGCCAGGGGCGGCCCUGGGGGCUUGUGUUCUGAGGCCGGACCUCAGGCUCCUGUGUCUCCUCCACGGCCAAAGAGUUCCCGAGGCGGCCUCCAGUGCCCACUGCGCCACGUGAAUGGCCCUUUCAUGACCGAGUCUCCCUUUGGCUCUUGUGCCGCAGGGCAGGCUAGGAUGCAAGUGGCCUUGCUGGGGGGCCCUUCCAAGGGCCGAGGGACCAGCCUCUCGAACGGGCUCGGCGCUCCAGUGACCUUCGCGUCCCCCUCCUCCUUGAAUUGUCUGGAAAACAGAAUGGACAGAUUUUCUGUCUUCAAAGUUUCCGGCUAAACCUCUUCAAAGUUCUUUAUUGUUUGGGACUGAGACACUCAGCAGUGCUAAUGGGUAGUUCCUUUUGUAUUUGCCCUGAAAGGCCAAAAUAUUUUUAUAUCGCUCCAGACAAAGCCGUCUAUUUUAAGAUGAACUCUGUCCGUCGUUGGCCACCGGGGAGACGGUGUCCGCCGUGUGUGUGUCUGUGUGCUCUCGGGUCUUGAAACGGGUUUCUCCUGGGGAUGGCCAUUCACAGGGGUCCAGGGGGAAGCGCCUGCCCCCCCGAAGGGGGCCUGGGGAAGCGGGGACUGGGGCAUCCCGCCCUAAUUGCAGAUCUGCCACCCCCACCCACCCCCACCCCCUCUGUGUAGGAUAUGAGCCCCUGGGGCGGUGGGGGCGGGUUCUGGCUGCACUAACAUUUCCUGUGCCUGCGCCUGCACCUGCCAUGCGUAUGUGUUGGGGACCGUGGGUUGUGUGCACCUGGGUGGUUAAUUCAGUGGGAGGAGCUGGGAGGUCAGAGAUACUGUGAAGGUUCUAUUCUGGUUGGGAGGUCACGGCUGGGAGGUGUGACCUGGUCCAAACAAGCGAAUGGAUGCAUCCGUGGAUGAAAGCAUGCAGGAAUGAGCAAACAGAGAAACAGGGAGAGAAGGAAUCAAGCCCGGGUGAGAGUGUGCCCUGAGUGAGAGCCCACCGAUGCCCAGGACGUCAGUGGUUGUGUCAGGAAGUCGGGACUCGGGAUAGACAUAGGGCCACGUCGGAAGCAAGGUCAGGUCAUCGUGGGCGGAGCGACCCGUGAACUUUGGGUAUCGGGCACCUGAAGUUUGUCAUUAAAGGAUAAAACCUAGAUGGAAGAAAGAAUGAGUUAGAGGUGGACACGCGUAAACCAGGGGUGACAAUGAGAUGAUGAGGCCCAGCGGGGGAGACGGUGCAGGAGAGGGAAGGAGUGACUGAAAGGGGGAGGCACACGGAGAGAGCCCCCAAAAUGAGUAUUUUUAAAAUUAGGGGGCGAGGACAUCUCUAUGGAGGACAGGGUCACGUGAUUAUGAGCCAAGCAUUAGGAUGACUCCAAAUGCAUACUCCCGGCACAAAAAAGGAAAGAACCUGCAGACGGAGAGUUCUGGAAAAAGAUGAGCUGGAAAAGGACCCAGGGAACCAACGAUGAGGGUUAACUUUAGCCUAAAGUUUUCCGACUCUGGGCCCGUGUAGAUAAGUAAAUGCCCAAACGAAAGAAAGCAGAGGGACCACCAAAGGGAUGAGUGAGCAGCGGACAUCCCUGGGCCCAGAUGGGAGCAUUGGCAGGAGGGGCUUCGAGUCAUCUGCUCCCGGGCACUGAGGUUCCACGAAAGGAUUAAAAAGAGAGAGAAUGGAGUUCCCGUCGUGGCGCAGUGGUUAACGAAUCCGACUAGGAACCAUGAGGUUGCAGGUUCGGUCCCUGCCCUUGCUCAGUGGGUUAAGGAUCCGGUGUUGCCGUGAGCUGUGGUGUAGGUUGCAGAUGCGGCUCGGAUCCCGUGUUGCUGUGGCUCUGGCAUAGGGUGGUGGCUAUAGCUCCCAUUAGACCCCUAGCCUGGGAACCUCCAUAUACCGCGGGAGUGGCCCAAAGAAAUGGCAAAAA